rnacentral:rRNA from 1 species
AGAGCUUGCUCUUCAACUUUAGCGGCGGACGGGUGAGUAACACGUGGGCAACCUGCCCUGCAGAUCGGGAUAACUCCGGGAAACCGGUGCUAAUACCGAAUAGUUUUCGCCACCUCCUGGUGGCGUACGGAAAGACGGUUUCGGCUGUCACUGCAGGAUGGGCCCGCGGCGCAUUAGCUAGUUGGUGGGGUAACGGCCCACCAAGGCGACGAUGCGUAGCCGACCUGAGAGGGUGAUCGGCCACACUGGGACUGAGACACGGCCCAGACUCCUACGGGAGGCAGCAGUAGGGAAUCUUCCGCAAUGGACGAAAGUCUGACGGAGCAACGCCGCGUGAGUGACGAAGGUUUUCGGAUCGUAAAACUCUGUUGUGAGGGAAGAACAAGUACCAAUUAACUACUGGUACCUUGACGGUACCUCACCAGAAAGCCACGGCUAACUACGUGCCAGCAGCCGCGGUAAUACGUAGGUGGCAAGCGUUGUCCGGAAUUAUUGGGCGUAAAGCGCGCGCAGGCGGUCCCUUAAGUCUGAUGUGAAAGCCCACGGCUCAACCGUGGAGGGUCAUUGGAAACUGGGGGACUUGAGUGCAGAAGAGGAAAGUGGAAUUCCACGUGUAGCGGUGAAAUGCGUAGAGAUGUGGAGGAACACCAGUG